rnacentral:rRNA from 1 species
CCCUUAGAUGUUCUGGGCCGCACACGCGCUACACUGAAGGAGGCAGCGUGUACUCCUGGAUCGAAAGAUUUGGGUAACCCGCGAAUCUCCUUCGUGCUAGGGAUUGAGGUUUGCAAUUAUCCUUCAUGAACGAGGAAUUCCCAGUAAGUGCAAGUCAUAAGCUUGCGCUGGCUACGUCCCUGCCCUUUGUACACACCGCCCGUCGCUACUACCGAUUGAAUGAUUUAGUGAGGACUUCGGACUGGGACCGAUGCGGCUUUCGGGCUGCGUCGGUAUUCUGGAAAGAUGUCCAAACUGUAUCAUUUAGAGGAAGUAAAAGUCGUANCA